GAUGAACGCUGACAGAAUGCUUAACACAUGCAAGUCAACUUGAAUUUGGGUUUUUAACUUAGAUUUGGGUGGCGGACGGGUGAGUAACGCGUAAAGAACUUGCCUCACAGCUAGGGACAACAUUUAGAAAUGAAUGCUAAUACCUGAUAUUAUGAUUUUAAGGCAUUUUAGAAUUAUGAAAGCUAUAAGCACUGUGAGAGAGCUUUGCGUCCCAUUAGCUAGUUGGAGAGGUAACAGCUCACCAAGGCGAUGAUGGGUAGCCGGCCUGAGAGGGUGAACGGCCACAAGGGGACUGAGACACGGCCCUUACUCCUACGGGAGGCAGCAGUGGGGAAUAUUGGACAAUGGACCGAGAGUCUGAUCCAGCAAUUCUGUGUGCACGAUGAAGUUUUUCGGAAUGUAAAGUGCUUUCAGUUGGGAAGAAAGAAAUGACGGUACCAACAGAAGAAGUGACGGCUAAAUACGUGCCAGCAGCCGCGGUAAUACGUAUGUCACGAGCGUUACCCGGAUUUAUUGGGCGUAAAGCGCGUCUAGGUGGUUAUGUAAGUCUGAUGUGAAAAUGCAGGGCUCAACUCUGUAUUGCGUUGGAAACUGUAUAACUAGAGUACUGGAGAGGUAAGCGGAACUACAAGUGUAGAGGUGAAAUUCGUAGAUAUUUGUAGGAAUGCCGAUGGGGAAGCCAGCUUACUGGACAGAUACUGACGCUAAAGCGCGAAAGCGUGGGUAGCAAACAGG
rnacentral:rRNA from 1 species